AUAUCAAUAAGCGGAGGAAAAGAAACUAACAAGGAUUCCCCUAGUAACGGCGAGUGAAGCGGGAAGAGCUCAAAUUUAAAAUCUGGCGGUCUCAGGCUGUCCGAGUUGUAAUCUAGAGAGGUGUUUUCCGUACCGGACCGUGUAAAAGUCCCUUGGAACAGGGCGUCAUAGAGGGUGAGAAUCCCGUCCAUGACACGGACUACCAGUGCUCUGUGAUACACCUUCAAAGAGUCGAGUUGUUUGGGAAUGCAGCUCAAAAUGGGUGGUAAAUUCCAUCUAAAGCUAAAUACAGGCGAGAGACCGAUAGCGAACAAGUACCGUGAGGGAAAGAUGAAAAGAACUUUGGAAAGAGAGUUAAACAGUACGUGAAAUUGUUGAAAGGGAAACGCUUGUGACCAGACUUGCGCCGGGCAGAUCAUCCGGUGUUCUCACCGGUGCACUCUGCCCGGCUCAGGCCAGCAUCGGUUCUCGUGGGGGGAUAAAGGUCCCGGGAACGUAGCUCCUCCGGGAGUGUUAUAGCCCGGGGCGUAAUGCCCUCGUGGGGACCGAGGUUCGCGCAUCUGCAAGGAUGCUGGCGUAAUGGUCAUCAGCGA
rnacentral:rRNA from 1 species